rnacentral:rRNA from 1 species
UUCGACACGUACGGAAUCCUUAGAGAUAGGGAGUGCUGAAAGAGAACCGUAACACAGGUGCUGCAUGGCUGUCGUCAGCUCGUGUCGUGAGAUGUUGGGUUAAGUCCCGCAACGAGCGCAACCCUUGUCAUUAGUUGCUACAUUCAGUUGGGCACUCUAAUGAGACUGCCGGUGACAAACCGGAGGAAAGGUGGGGAUGACGUCAAGUCCUCAUGGCCCUUAUAGGUGGGGCUACACACGUCAUGCAAUGGAUGGUACAAAGGGUCGCCAACCCGCGAGGGGGAGCCAAUCCCAUAAAGCCAUUCGUAGUCCGGAUCGCAGUCUGCAACUCGACUGCGUGAAGUCGGAAUCGCUAGUAAUCGUGGAUCAGAAUGUCACGGUGAAUACGUUCCCGGGUCUU